GACGAACGCUGGCGGCGUGCUUAACACAUGCAAGUCGAACGGAAAGGCCCUGCUUUUGUGGGGUGCUCGAGUGGCGAACGGGUGAGUAACACGUGAGUAACCUGCCCUUGACUUUGGGAUAACUUCAGGAAACUGGGGCUAAUACCGGAUAGGAGCUCCUGCUGCAUGGUGGUGGUUGGAAAGUUUCGGCGGUUGGGGAUGGACUCGCGGCUUAUCAGCUUGUUGGUGGGGUAGUGGCUUACCAAGGCUUUGACGGGUAGCCGGUCUGAGAGGGUGACCGGCCACAUUGGGACUGAGAUACGGCCCAGACUCCUACGGGAGGCAGCAGUGGGGAAUAUUGCACAAUGGGCGGAAGCCUGAUGCAGCAACGCCGCGUGCGGGAUGACGGCCUUCGGGUUGUAAACCGCUUUCGCCUGUGACGAAGCGUGAGUGACGGUAAUGGGUAAAGAAGCACCGGCUAACUACGUG
rnacentral:rRNA from 1 species